UUGCAAAAACUGUAUUAUUUUGUUUCCAUGCAAUUCUGAAUGAGUAUCUUCAGAUCACGUAAUUCACAUGCGAAGAAGAAAAUGUUUGAGGUUACCAUCUCAAUACAUUACUUCGACCUCCUAAAUAGCUAUAUGUUACUGAAUAUGUCAUUUUUUUGUUUCAUGUCUGCAGGAAACAAACUUACUCUUGAGUCUGGCAGUGAUUGAGCUAAGUGAUAUUACUUUUCCUGUCUAUCCAUCAUUUUACAUCAAAGGUUACACUCCAGGCCAUAUGUUUCACUUCCGAUGUGUAUUCUGGCAACAACAGUUUUUUCUUGUUUGCCAUUUUCUUUCUACCAAAUAGACAUUGUGCAAACAAGCUUAUAAAUUACUGUUUGCCAUUUUCCUUCUAAGCUUCUGGGCUGAAACUUCUUGAUGGAUACUAACCCCCACCUCAAGUGUGCAAAUGUG